rnacentral:rRNA from 1 species
CCCUUAGAUGUUCUGGGCCGCACGCGCGCUACACUGACUGGUGCAACAAGUGUCUGACCUUGGCUCGAGAGGCCUGGGCAAUCUUUGAACGCUGUUCGUGAUUGGGAUAGACCUUUGCAAUUAUGGGUCUUCAACGAGGAAUUCCUAGUAAACGCAAGUCAUCAGCUUGCAUUGAUUACGUCCCUGCCCUUUGUACACACCGCCCGUCGCACCUACCGAUUGAAUGGUCCGGUGAAAUCUCGGGACGGCGGCUUGGUCGCUUGCGUCCGACUGCUGAAACUUGAUUAAACCAUAUCAUUUAGAGGAAGGUGAAGUCGUAACA